rnacentral:rRNA from 1 species
UUAAGUUAGAAAGAGCGCAGGGUGGAUGCCUUGGCACUGAGAGCCGAUGAAAGACGUGAUAAGCUGCGAUAAGCUGCGGCAAGAAGCAAAUAUUCAAUGAACCGCAGAUUUCUGAAUGGGGAAACCUGGCUGAGCAAACCUCAGUCGUCCUAUACUGAAUACAUAGGUAUAGGUCGGGAACCUCCUGAACUGAAACAUCUAAGUAGGGAGAGGAAGAGAAAGAAACAUCGAUUCUGUUAGUAGCGGCGAGCGAAAGCGGAAGAGCCCAAACCGGAGUGCGUGCAUUCCGGGGUAUGGACUGCAACAUGGCAGUGUUAACGAUAGCAGAAGGGUCUGGGAAGUCCCGCCAAAGAGAGUGAAAGCCUCGUAUGCGAAAUUGAAAACACGCCUAGCAGAAUCCGGAGUACCACGAGACACGAGAAACCUUGUGGGAAGGCGGAGGGACCACCCUCCAAGGCUAAAUACUACUCAGUGACCGAUAGCGCAUAGUACUGUGAAGGAAAGGUGAAAAGGACCCCGGGAGGGGAGUGAAAGAGAACCUGAAACCCUGUGUUUACAAGCUGUGGGACAUCUUUACAUGAUGAACCGCGUACUUUUUGUAGAACGGUCCGGCGAGUUGCGGAUGCCGGCAAGGUUAAGCACUUAAGGUGUGGAGCCGAAGGGAAACCAAGUCUGAAGAGGGCGUAUAUAGUCAGUAUCCGCAGACCCGAAACCGGGUGAUCUACCCAUGUCCAGGUUGAAGUUGCCGUAAAAGGCAAUGGAGGACCGAACGCACAUCCGUUGAAAAGGGUGGCGAUGAGGUGUGGGUAGGGGAGAAAUUCCAAUCGAACCCGGAGAUAGCUGGUUCUCCUCGAAAUAGCUUUAGGGCUAGCCUCGUAUUAGUCUUGCGGAGGUAGAGCACUGAAUAUCCUAGGGGGCGUCAAAGCUUACCGAAGAUUAUCAAACUCCGAAUGCCGCGUAGAUGAUGUACGGGAGUCAGACUGCACGAGAUAAGUUGGGUAGUCAAAAGGGAAAGAGCCCAGACCACCAGCUAAGGUCCCAAAGUGCGUGUUAAGUGGUAAAGGAUGUGGGAUUUCGAAGACAACUAGGAUGUUGGCUCAGAAGCAGCCAUACAUUCAAAGAGUGCGUAAUAGCUCACUAGUCGAGAGGUCCUGCGCCGAAAAUGUCCGGGGCUAAAACACGACACCGAAGCUGUGGAUCCGAAAGGAUGGUAGAGGAGCAUUCUUAAGUCGACGAAGCUGUACUGUAAGGAGCAGUGGAGAGUUAAGAAGAGAGAAUGCCGGAAUGAGUAGCGAGAUUUAAGUGAGAAUCUUAAAGGCCGAAUAUCUAAGGUUUCCAGGGUAAAGCUGAUCUUCCCUGGGUAAGUCGGGGCCUAAGGCGAGGGCGAGAGCCGUAGUCGAUGGAUAACAGGUUGAAAUUCCUGUACUGCUUAUGGACAGAACUGUGGGGACGCAGAAGGAGAGCACGAGCCGGAAAUGGAAAAGCCGGUACAAGCGUAUAGCAGUCAUGCAGGCAAAACCGCAUGAAAAAUGUAAAGUGUUAUGUGGAUCGAACAUUAGUAGAGAAGCGUGUGAGCCAGCUGCCAAGAAAAGCCGCUAUUGCUUCAUAAGUACCCGUACCGUAAACCGACACAGGUGGAUGAGGAGAGAAUCCUAAGGCCGGCGGGAGAAGUGUUGUUAAGGAACUCGGCAAAAUGACUCCGUAACUUCGGGAGAAGGAGUGCCACAGAGAUGUGGCCGCAGAGAAAUGGCCCAAGCAACUGUUUAGCAAAAACACAGGUCUAUGCAAAACCGAAAGGUGAGGUAUAUGGGCUGACGCCUGCCCGGUGCUGGAAGGUUAAGAGGAGAGGUUAGAGCAAUCGAAGCUUUGAAUUUAAGCCCCAGUAAACGGCGGCCGUAACUAUAACGGUCCUAAGGUAGCGAAAUUCCUUGUCGGGUAAGUUCCGACCCGC